UACGUAGGGGGCUAGCGUUGUCCGGAAUCAUUGGGCGUAAAGAGCGUGUAGGCGGUCCGGUAAGUCCGUUGUGAAAGUCAGGGGCUCAACCCUUGAAUGCCGGCGGAUACUGUCGGGCUAGAGUCCGGAAGAGGCGAGUGGAAUUCCCGGUGUAGCGGUGAAAUGCGCAGAUAUCGGGAAGAACACCCGUGGCUAAGGCGGCUCUCUAGUACGGUACUGACGCUGAGACGCGAAAGCGUGGGGAGCGAACAGG
rnacentral:rRNA from 1 species